rnacentral:rRNA from 1 species
GGUUAAGCGACUAAGCGUACACGGUGGAUGCCCUGGCAGUCAGAGGCGAUGAAGGACGUGCUAAUCUGCGAUAAGCGUCGGUAAGGUGAUAUGAACCGUUAUAACCGGCGAUUUCCGAAUGGGGAAACCCAGUGUGAUUCGUCACACUAUCAUUAACUGAAUCCAUAGGUUAAUGAGGCGAACCGGGGGAACUGAAACAUCUAAGUACCCCGAGGAAAAGAAAUCAACCGAGAUUCCCCCAGUAGCGGCGAGCGAACGGGGAGCAGCCCAGAGCCUGAAUCAGUGUGUGUGUUAGUGGAAGCGUCUGGAAAGGCGUGCGAUACAGGGUGACAGCCCCGUACACAAAAAUGCACAUACUGUGAGCUCGAUGAGUAGGGCGGGACACGUGGUAUCCUGUCUGAAUAUGGGGGGACCAUCCUCCAAGGCUAAAUACUCCUGACUGACCGAUAGUGAACCAGUACCGUGAGGGAAAGGCGAAAAGAACCCCGGCGAGGGGAGUGAAAAAGAACCUGAAACCGUGUACGUACAAGCAGUGGGAGCACGCUUAGGCGUGUGACUGCGUACCUUUUGUAUAAUGGGUCAGCGACUUAUAUUCUGUAGCAAGGUUAACCGAAUAGGGGAGCCGAAGGGAAACCGAGUCUUAACUGGGCGUUAAGUUGCAGGGUAUAGACCCGAAACCCGGUGAUCUAGCCAUGGGCAGGUUGAAGGUUGGGUAACACUAACUGGAGGACCGAACCGACUAAUGUUGAAAAAUUAGCGGAUGACUUGUGGCUGGGGGUGAAAGGCCAAUCAAACCGGGAGAUAGCUGGUUCUCCCCGAAAGCUAUUUAGGUAGCGCCUCGUGAAUUCAUCUCCGGGGGUAGAGCACUGUUUCGGCAAGGGGGUCAUCCCGACUUACCAACCCGAUGCAAACUGCGAAUACCGGAGAAUGUUAUCACGGGAGACACACGGCGGGUGCUAACGUCCGUCGUGAAGAGGGAAACAACCCAGACCGCCAGCUAAGGUCCCAAAGUCAUGGUUAAGUGGGAAACGAUGUGGGAAGGCCCAGACAGCCAGGAUGUUGGCUUAGAAGCAGCCAUCAUUUAAAGAAAGCGUAAUAGCUCACUGGUCGAGUCGGCCUGCGCGGAAGAUGUAACGGGGCUAAACCAUGCACCGAAGCUGCGGCAGCGACGCUUAUGCGUUGUUGGGUAGGGGAGCGUUCUGUAAGCCUGCGAAGGUGUGCUGUGAGGCAUGCUGGAGGUAUCAGAAGUGCGAAUGCUGACAUAAGUAACGAUAAAGCGGGUGAAAAGCCCGCUCGCCGGAAGACCAAGGGUUCCUGUCCAACGUUAAUCGGGGCAGGGUGAGUCGACCCCUAAGGCGAGGCCGAAAGGCGUAGUCGAUGGGAAACAGGUUAAUAUUCCUGUACUUGGUGUUACUGCGAAGGGGGGACGGAGAAGGCUAUGUUGGCCGGGCGACGGUUGUCCCGGUUUAAGCGUGUAGGCUGGUUUUCCAGGCAAAUCCGGAAAAUCAAGGCUGAGGCGUGAUGACGAGGCACUACGGUGCUGAAGCAACAAAUGCCCUGCUUCCAGGAAAAGCCUCUAAGCAUCAGGUAACAUCAAAUCGUACCCCAAACCGACACAGGUGGUCAGGUAGAGAAUACCAAGGCGCUUGAGAGAACUCGGGUGAAGGAACUAGGCAAAAUGGUGCCGUAACUUCGGGAGAAGGCACGCUGAUAUGUAGGUGAAGUCCCUCGCGGAUGGAGCUGAAAUCAGUCGAAGAUACCAGCUGGCUGCAACUGUUUAUUAAAAACACAGCACUGUGCAAACACGAAAGUGGACGUAUACGGUGUGACGCCUGCCCGGUGCCGGAAGGUUAAUUGAUGGGGUCAGCGCAAGCGAAGCUCUUGAUCGAAGCCCCGGUAAACGGCGGCCGUAACUAUAACGGUCCUAAGGUAGCGAAAUUCCUUGUCGGGUAAGUUCCGACCUGCACGAAUGGCGUAAUGAUGGCCAGGCUGUCUCCACCCGAGACUCAGUGAAAUUGAACUCGCUGUGAAGAUGCAGUGUACCCGCGGCAAGACGGAAAGACCCCGUGAACCUUUACUAUAGCUUGACACUGAACAUUGAGCCUUGAUGUGUAGGAUAGGUGGGAGGCUUUGAAGUGUGGACGCCAGUCUGCAUGGAGCCGACCUUGAAAUACCACCCUUUAAUGUUUGAUGUUCUAACGUUGACCCGUGAUCCGGGUUGCGGACAGUGUCUGGUGGGUAGUUUGACUGGGGCGGUCUCCUCCUAAAGAGUAACGGAGGAGCACGAAGGUUGGCUAAUCCUGGUCGGACAUCAGGAGGUUAGUGCAAUGGCAUAAGCCAGCUUGACUGCGAGCGUGACGGCGCGAGCAGGUGCGAAAGCAGGUCAUAGUGAUCCGGUGGUUCUGAAUGGAAGGGCCAUCGCUCAACGGAUAAAAGGUACUCCGGGGAUAACAGGCUGAUACCGCCCAAGAGUUCAUAUCGACGGCGGUGUUUGGCACCUCGAUGUCGGCUCAUCACAUCCUGGGGCUGAAGUAGGUCCCAAGGGUAUGGCUGUUCGCCAUUUAAAGUGGUACGCGAGCUGGGUUUAGAACGUCGUGAGACAGUUCGGUCCCUAUCUGCCGUGGGCGCUGGAGAACUGAGGGGGGCUGCUCCUAGUACGAGAGGACCGGAGUGGACGCAUCACUGGUGUUCGGGUUGUCAUGCCAAUGGCACUGCCCGGUAGCUAAAUGCGGAAGAGAUAAGUGCUGAAAGCAUCUAAGCACGAAACUUGCCCCGAGAUGAGUUCUCCCUGACUCCUUGAGAGUCCUGAAGGAACGUUGAAGACGACGACGUUGAUAGGCCGGGUGUGUAAGCGCAGCGAUGCGUUGAGCUAACCGGUACUAAUGAACCGUGAGGCUUAACCUU